UGGGGGAUAUUGCACAAUGGGCGAAAGCCUGAUGCAGCGACGCCGCGUGGGGGAUGAAGGCCUUCGGGUUGUAAACUUCUUUUGCUCUGAACAAGGCGCACCAUGGGGUGUGUUGAGUGUAGGGGUUGAUUAGCGCCGGCUAACUACGUGCCAGCAGCCGCGGUAAUACGUAGGGCGCGAGCGUUGUCCGGAAUUAUUGGGCGUAAAGGGCUUGUAGGUGGCUGGUUGCGUCUGUCGUGAAAGCUCAUGGCUUAACUGUGGGUUUGCGGUGGGUACGGGCUGGCUUGAGUGCAGUAGGGGAGGCUGGAAUUCCUGGUGGAGCGGUGGAAUGCGCAGAUAUCAGGAGGAAUACCGGUGGCGAAGGCGGGUCUCUGGGCUGUUACUGACACUGAGGAGCGAAAGCAUGGGGAGCGAACAGG
rnacentral:rRNA from 1 species